UACGAAGGGGGCUAGCGUUGCUCGGAAUUACUGGGCGUAAAGCGCACGUAGGCGGCUCUUUAAGUCGGGGGUGAAAUCCUGGAGCUCAACUCCAGAACUGCCUUUGAUACUGGCGAUCUCGAGUCCGGGAGAGGUGAGUGGAACUGCGAGUGUAGAGGUGAAAUUCGUAGAUAUUCGCAAGAACACCAGUGGCGAAGGCGGCUCACUGGCCCGGUACUGACGCUGAGGUGCGAAAGCAUGGGGAGCGAACAGG
rnacentral:rRNA from 1 species